GAUGAACGCUGGCGGCGUGCCUAACACAUGCAAGUCGAGCGAAGCAUUUUAAAGGAAGUUUUCGGAUGGAAUUUGAAAUGACUGAGCGGCGGACGGGUGAGUAACGCGUGGGUAACCUGCCUCAUACAGGGGGAUAACAGUUAGAAAUGACUGCUAAUACCGCAUAAGCACACAGUACCGCAUGGUACAGUGUAGAAAAACUCCGGUGGUAUGAGAUGGACCUGCGUCUGAUUAGCUAGUUGGCGGGGUAACGGCCCACCAAGGCGACGAUCAGUAGCCGACCUGAGAGGGUGACCGGCCACAUUGGGACUGAGACACGGCCCAA
rnacentral:rRNA from 1 species